AGACGACGGAGCAGGACUACGCAUGCUGCCCCAUUCUACUACACCGAGGCUCCCAACUGCUACACCGAGGCUCCCGCUGAUUUCUCCACCAAAACGGUCGAAUACUACACCGAAGCGGUAAAGUACUUCUCUGCCCCGAUCAACACAACCACAACUGAGGCGGCUAAGAAUGACGCAGUUCCGACUUGCUACACCGAAGCUGCUCUUUCGUGCUACGUUGAACUGAAAUACUACACUGACGCUGCUGCCUACUUCACCACGACCCACGUUACACCUAGCUACAACACGGCAGCCCCCAAGUGCUACACCGAAGAAGCCGCAUUUUACACAACCACGUAAGCUGCCUAGUUUACUACAUCGAGGAAUUUAAGUAUUACCCUGCUCCAAACUACUACCAAACUGAGGUUCAUAUUUAUUGCAAUUCUCCCGAUUAUGCCACCACUACUCACGCUGCUCCGACCUUUACACCGAAGUUCUGAAGUAUUUCUCUGGAUGUGUUGAAAGAUUGCUGAAAUACAAGAUUGAUUGAUAAA